AGGUGAGCGGGUCCUAAUGUGUCCAGGGCAGCGGUGGUGGGGUGAUCGUGUACAGUUGUGAUACUGUUAUCUUGAUUCUUGUGCCAAAUGCGAUGUUUGCUGUGACUGACAGGCUAAAGACGAAUUUACUAGUGACUGAUGUGCAGUGUGAGUGACGAGAUGAAGGAAAACUGUGUGCUGAGGUGUGCGCUUCAUUACGAGGCGCCCGUGAUGGGAGGAGCAAAUGGUUGUUGAUGUGCAUUAGAGCAGCUGUUAGUUUGAUUGGCUGGCGUUGUUAGCGGGUGUGUUUGUGAAGUGAAAGUUGGUGCACACAAUGUAAUGCAAGGGGAGAUGUUGUGGCUAAUGCAAUGUGGAUGGCUGGAUACUGUCGACAAUGUAGUCACUAGCAGACAAUGUGUUGGUGGCAGGAAGUGUUGCCAUACUGUGGUGAUGCCGGCGAAUCUGGUGGCCAGUUCAACCUAGCCAACCAGGGAGUAUUAACGUAAGAUACGGCAAUACCGCCGAAAAGUACUGUGUUAUGAUACUGUGGAGUGUGGUGAGAGUGGUGUCAGUGUCAUCCUCUAUCGCAUGUGUGUCCACGAUGACUGAGAUCAGAAGGACAAGCUCAGUGUUGUGAGUCCUGCGUGAACUUGGCAAAUAAGGAAGUGUGGCUGUCAGACAUCUUGCCUAACAACCUCUCUGGUAUUGUGUAGUGAAGUCUGUCAUCAAGAGGAGGUUCAAUUGAAGAAAGGUUCAACCAAUAUUUUUGUCUUCAGGAAACAAACCUUCCAUCUCUUCACAAGCGUGGAUGUCGCAACACUGAGUGAGAGAGAUGGGUUUGCAUUGCAUUGCCGGCUGUCGAUACCUGCCAGGCUGCCACACGAAGGCCGAGAGGCGACUCUGCCAUCACAUCAGAUCACAAAUGUCUGCAGUACGCAACUCCAUUUCAGGCUACUCUCCACCUGAGGCCUGCCACACUCAGCCCGUAUAGUCUGCAUGCCUGUCGUCUUGGAAACCUCGACACGCCUCAUCUCUCCUUUACACAGAGCAGCAACACAGUCCAAGUUUUACCAAUCAAUGGAAUCACCGCUGCCUCGUUAUGCCUUUGUUAUGUGUCUCCGCUCUUUGUCGUCCCCAUGUCCUGCCAUUGCCGUGAAACUUGGCGCUUGGGAGCCGUACGUCCUGAGCGCAGUGUGAUUUACUCGUCAAGGCAGCGGGGAAGUGGGGAUGACAGUGUUGCAAGCCCGCUGCGUCUCACUGCCUUGCGUCACAACCAAAGUCCACCACUUCACCAUCCAACCAGCCCACCAGCCAACCAACCCACCAGCCAACCAGCCAUCACAUUCAAAGCCGGCUGAGCGCUAAUAUGUUCAAAAGGCUUCCUACAUCUGUCUGGCCAGCGCUGCAGAACGUGGUGUUGUGAUUUACCUCCUGAAAAGUGACGAGGGAUCGAACGACACGGAGGCAGUGAAAGAGGGAGAGGGAGAGGGAGAGGGAGAGGGAGAAGGGAAGGUCUAGGGCUGACUGUGUGUGUGGACUGUUCCCUGCGUCCUGAGAAGGUUUUUUUGAUGGGGAAAGAAAAAUCACCAGUUGUCUGAAUUUCCCUGCACCAGUUUAACCAGCAUCCUACCUGCCCGCCCGCGUGCCCAAGACACCUUCCCUGGCUCACCAUUAGAGUUGGAGAAGAAAAUGGC